rnacentral:rRNA from 1 species
CCUAUGAAAUCGAGUGGCAAACGGGGUGAGUAACGCGUAAACAACCCUGCCCUUCGGAUGGGGAUACAGCCGGAAAACGGCUGCUAAUACCGAAUACGAUCUUUUCGUCGCAUGACGGAAAAAGAAGAAAAGGAAUGGCCUCUAUACAAAGCUAUCGCCGAAGGAGGGGUUUUGCGACUGAUUAGCUGGUUGGAGGGGUAACGGCCCAACAAGGCGAUGAUCAGUAGCCGGUCUGAGAGGAUGAACGGCCACAUUGGGACUGAGACACGGCCCAGACUCCUACGGGAGGCAGCAGUGGGGAAUCUUCCGCAAUGGACGAAAGUCUGACGGAGCAACGCCGCGUGAGUGAAGAAGGUCUUCGGAUUGUAAAGCUCUGUUAUACGGGACGAAAAAGACGGAUGCCAACAGUAUCCGUCCGUGACGGUACCGUAAGAGAAAGCCACGGGCUAACUACGUGCCAGCAGCCGCGGUAAAU